CUGACCAUCUCCAUCCCCCAGCACGUGGCCGUGGCCAACGCAGCCACCGCCCUCCUGUGCCACGUGGGGCGGUUCUUCCCCGAGGACGUGGACGUGGCAUGGCUGAGGGACGGGCAGGUCCUGGAUGGCUCCACCCGCUCCAGCCCCCAGAGGAACCGGGAUGGGACCUUCAACCUCACCCUGACCUACACCUUCGCCCCGGUCUGGAGUGAUGCUGGCGCCGUCUUCGCCUGCCAUGUCUGACACGCGGCGCUGGAGCAGCCCCUGGUCGAGGAGUUCGCCCUGGAUGUCCCAGGCUCGGACCGCACCGGAGCUGCGAUUGGGGCCGUCGUGGCCAUCGUGCUCGCACUAGGAGCUGCGGGCGCGGCCGGUUACUGCUGGCGGCAGAGGAGAGGCAGGAAAGCCGCUUGCUCCGUGUCCAAGGUGGAGGGGCCGGAGCGGUGCCGGCUGGGCCAGGAGGUGACUCUGCGCUGCUCCGUGGAGGGGAAGAUCCGUGCAGACACGGCGGUGAUGUGGGAGCGGACGCAGGGCGAGGACAGGGCGCUGAUCCAGAAGGACGGGCCCGGGGCGGCCCCUGAGCAACAGCUGCUCUACACGUCCGUGCCCCUGGGCUGGACGCCCACCCAGGAGAGGUCCGAGACCGGCCUCACGGCCCUCCUGACCUUCACCCCCACGGUGCAGGACCACGGGGCGCGCGUGCAGUGUCUCCUCCAGCCCGAGGCCCGAGACAGCGGCGAGGAGCCCGAGUGCUGGGAGAUCCGGGUGUGGGAUGCAUCUCGAGCAGGUCCAAGGAGGUGAUCCUCCCCCUCUACGCGGCAAUGGUCAGGCCGCAGGUGGAGUACUGCGUCCAGGUCUGGGUGCCGCAGUUCAGGAGGGACGUGGACAGCAUGGAGAGGAGGCCACUCACAUGAUCCGGGGGCAGCAGGGCAGGCCCUACGAGGAGAGGCUAUGGGACGUGAACCUGUUCCGCCUCCACAAGAGAAGGCUGAGAGGGGAUCUGCUGCCCAUCUAUACACUUGCCAAGGGGGACCAGCAGGCGCUGGGAGAGACCUUGCUCCCCCCAAACACUUCCUGGACUAACAAGGAAUAACGGCCCAAAUUCAUUAGAGAGUAGGUUCAGACUAGACAUCAGGAGGUGCUGCUUCAGUCAGGGCGGCUAGGACCUCGAACCAACUUCCAAGGGCAGUGGUGCUGGCUCCUGCCCUGGGGGUCGUUAAAAGGAGGCCAGAUAGUUUUACCUGGCUGGGGUCAUUUGAGGCCAGUAUUGUCUCCUGCCCGGGGCGGGGGGACUGACUUGAUGAUCUACUUAGGCCCCUUCCAACCCACAUCUAUCUAUCUAUCUAUCUAUCUAUCUAUCUAUCUAUCUAUCUAUCUAUCUAUCUAUCUAUCUAUCUAGUGCAUGGUGUUUAGUUACCGGGUUUCUGGUUGUACCCAUGUUGGUCUCAGGACAGAGGCAGGCCAGGUUCUUACAGCAGAUGCAAUAUCUUUUAUUAGACCAGCUGAGUAGUUGGAAAAAAGUUGUUGGCAAGCGUUCAGGCACACUCACCCUUCUUGAGGCAUGCAGAGUCUGUGCGAGCCCAACACCGCUCUCCUGAGCCUCGUGUUGAGUGAGUCUGUAGCGGUGCACACCUGUCUGCCUUCACCCUGACACGCAAACUGCCCCCAGCCCCGCCGGAGCUGUCCGGGAUCCAGGUGCUGCCGCGCUGGGACCCCCCGGACACAGUGCCGUUCGCCGUCCGCCUGCACGGCUUCUACCCCCGCGGGAUCCACCGUGUCGAGUGGAGCUGGGACAGGAAAGCCUGGGAGCGGUCGGAGCCGAGUGACUACGAGGAGAACGAAGACGGCACGUUCAGCGCCAGGAGCGUGUGGAGAGUGCCCAGCCGGUGCCUGGCCCGCCCCGAGCAGCGCGUGCGAGUGUGCGUGCAGCACGGCCCUGUGGACCCCCCCAUUGCGGGAGAGCUCAGCAUUGGGGACACCGGUGAGGAGGGGGGAUGCAUGGGGUCAC